AGAGUUUGAUCCUGGCUCAGAUUGAACGCUGGCGGAAUGCUUUACACAUGCAAGUCGAACGGCAGCACGGACUUCGGUCUGGUGGCGAGUGGCGAACGGGUGAGUAACAUAUCGGAACGUAUCCAAUAAUGGGGGAUAACUAAUCGAAAGGUUGGCUAAUACCGCACACGCCCUACGGGGGAAAGCUAGGGACCUUCGGGCCUGGCGUUAAUGGAGCGGCCGAUAUCUGAUUAGCUAGUUGGUGGGGUAAAGGCCCACCAAGGCGACGAUCAGUAGCUGGUCUGAGAGGACGACCAGCCACACUGGAACUGAGACACGGUCCAGACUCCUACGGGAGGCAGCAGUGGGGAAUUUUGGGCAAUGGGCGCAAGCCUGAUCCAGCCAUUCCGCGUGAGUGAAGAAGGCCUUCGGGUUGUAAAGC
rnacentral:rRNA from 1 species